GCUGUUAUGUUGUUGCUAAGCCGGAAACAAAGCAUGUGAAUGUUUUUUUUUUGGCACAGCGUCGUUUGGAAAGUGCACUUCCUUGUUCUGACCUUGCCUUUUAUGGGCUGGAGCGAUAUGAUUCGUGAAUAUGCCACGGCGAAGUUGUCGAAGAUGCGACAGUGCUACGCUGUUAGAACAAUUCAUCGGAGCGUUCAAGUGUUACCUAUUAUAAGCUGCCAAAAGACCAAGCAGUGCGAAGCUCUUGGCUGACAGUGGUGCCUGCUAAUUUCCACUGCAAGGAUUUCGUCCACGAAUGUUAUCAUAGGUUACGCGCGACUCCAUAGGCAAUUUGGAAUCUCGGCACGAAAUCGUCUGAUGAAAAUCAGAGGUGCCCGACGCAUAACAUUUUGAACGUGCCACGGAGGAUCAAGGCAAAAAACGAGAGCAAAAAAAGGUGCACGCUGAAGGCGGAAAUGAAGCAUGAUUUGGCUUGCAUCUGGUCAUGAAGAAAUUGCUGACACGUUAGUUGCAGUCCACCUCCACCAACAGGGUGGAAAACAAAGGUCGCCAUUCCGAUUAGCUGCUAUCUCCCAGUUCAAGCACUUUUGUGUCUGGGCACUGGUUCCUGUGGACGGGGUGUUACAAGCUUCACUGUCUGAUAUAGAAGUGAUGAGCAUCCAUAAGGACACAUGCCAGAAAGGGAGUCUCUUUGGGAUGACAAACCCUCAUCACCUCAUGAGGAUACAAUGGUUGACGAAUGGUUCUCAAGCACAUCGAAACUUCCAACAAAUAAUUCAUGAAAAAGCCAGUCAGUGCUAGCACCAGGAAUUGAACGUGGACCGUCCUGCUACCAGUCAGAGAUGUUCAAUGGCGUAGCCACGAGGGGGCUAGGGGGGGCUUGAGCCCCCCCUACCUGCCACGGACUGACCCACACAAAUCGUGCAAAUCCGAGAACAUAAUAUAUGGGGGGGGGGGACCAGUGUGACUAUUGCGAAAGUUCUUGCAGUUCAUGGCGUCUAUCUAAGAAGCACUCUUGAGUAGUUUUCAAAGUAUGAGCUUUUCGAAAUACUUCCAAUCUCGUGACACCACUUCAUUGGUCAUGACAGCCUAUACAUGUAAUCGUACUGUGAACGUCUAAAUCAACUAUUUUCGUUCCCUUUUUUAAUCCUCAGUUUGCAGUGUGCACAAGUAUGUUUGUGUUGUCGACACAGGAUCAGCGGGGGGGGGGGAGAGUUUUCGUAUCGAGCCCCCCCCCUACCUUUGAGGUCUGGCUACGCCACUGGAGAUGUUACAUUUCAGGCGCUCAUUGACUUUUGGUGAAUUACUUGUUGACUUUGUCCCAAGGUGGAGCUCGCUACAGCUCAUUUGCUAUCUGUUAAUGUUGUGGCGUGUGUUGCGUUUUUCUCUUUGUGUGUUCCAGACUCAGAACGUUUAAUUUGGAUCAGGUCAGGUACGUUUCAUUUAGACAUGGCAAACAUAAAGUGGUGUUUCUCAACACAACUUAGCAGUGGUCUUCAUGCAUUACUGCUACGGCCAUUAAGCGUGAAUAGAAACCUGCACAUUAUCCAUGAUGUAAAACCCCAAGACUAGGGAACACGAAGGGACAGACACAAACAUGUCCCUUUGUGUUCCCUAGUCUCGGGGUUUUACAUAUGCAUCAUCUUCCAGCUCGCUUGCUUGCAGCCAUUUUUUCUGCACAUUAUGUUCACUCUACUUUUAUCGUGUGCUAUAUAAUCUUGUUCAAGUUCUGUCAAACAACCUGUAAUGCUAUAAAAAAAUUCAGUACACUGUUUGUGUGGGUUGAAUGAUAGCGCAUGAAUGCAGGAAGGAAACUGUCAUGUUAUGGCAAGUGUUUACGUAUUGUACAUUUAACUACUAAUUUUAUUGGUUAGCUUUCGCUGGCGUAUCAUGUCAAGCCAUGUUAUAUUAAUUUGGAACAUGUUCUUCUUUGUAGCCAGAGCAGCUGAUACACAGAGAGAACAUAGCCCGUGUGUGUUUGUCUUUUCCACCGCAGCCCUUGGGUUUCCUCCCUGAUGGCUACACAUGUCAGGGAUAGGUUUCAGAACCGGUAGUUCCCGCCAAGUGUGAAUUGCUUUUCAGGGGAUCAUCACGCUGGCUGAUGAAACAUAUAGUUUAAAAUAUAUGCAGGACAGGAAUUGCGCAGCUUCACACAAAUACUACUACAGUUGAACCUCUCAAUAACGAACGUCCAUUUAACGAAAUCCUCCGUUUAACGAAAAAUUUCCGUUGCACGAGCGCGUCCCCAUAGACGCCAAUGUAUUUUUGAGCUCGAUUUAACGAAAUACGUUCGUUUGGUCACCUCUAUUUAACGA